rnacentral:lncRNA from 1 species
CUUCCCCUAGCUUAGCCUUCACUGUACCCAAAUCCAUAGGCUCCUUAACAAUGGUGUGGUAAUCAUGCAAACCAAACCCUUUAGCAUCAACUGGGACAUUGAACACCCAUCCAUCCUCAUGCUUCAUCAAUUGCGUAAGCAAAUUGUGACAUUUUUUUGAAAAUCUGAACCGUACUUUUUUCACCUCCACCUCCUGUAGACAUUUCUUAGGGUUUCUCUAGGGUUUUUUUAGCUCGGAGGACUGUGAGGGAGGAUCAGAAAUUCUCCUCGGAAAUAGUGUAGAAGGCCAACUGGAGUUAAUUAUAGAGUUUACUUUCCUUGUCUGUUGCAAAUCAUUGGUCUUGUUAGGCUUCUAAAAAGAAUAUAAUUAACACGAUGUUUUUGUUUUGCUUUGCGGGUUAUCCUCUGAGUUUGUUCUGGUGUUCAUCAUGCGGUUUGCGGAACCUGAGGGUAUUAGUCUUCUUUGGAUUUGAUACUCUUUCCAUUGAUGACAAAUAUUGACAUGUUUUUUGAUCUCUUGAUGAGGAGUUAAAUUUUAAAAUAUUAAUUCCAUACAAUGAUUUAUUCAUCCAACUCCUUUUGAACUUCAUCCAAAUUGACCUACGUUAAGAAAAUCAUUUGAAUGCUAUAUCUGGUCUACCAGUUGGAUGACAAAUUUUAGUUUGAAUCCCAGCUAAUAUAUAUAUAGAUGCAUGAGUUUGCAUUUUAGUAAAGACAAUACGUGUGUUUUAGUACGCGUGCAUUUCAGCAUCUUAGCGGCUUAGCGCAUGUGUUUGCGCUUGUACUUCUCGACAGCUUUUAAAAAUUGUUUCUCCUGUAAUACUUCUAUACUAGGUUAAGACCCGCGCCUUGCACGGGAUGAACAUUAUAUAUAUAAAUUAUUUUAUAUAUUAUAUGUUUAUAAAAUAUUAUGAAAUAAUAAAUAUAUAUUGAAUAAUUAAAAAUUCAUUAUCUACUACUAAUAUAAUUAAAUUGGUGCGAACAUAUAAAUAAAUUUUAUAAAUCGAAAAAUAUUUUUUCUAUUUGAUAUGAUAUAUAAUUAAAUUUAAAUGAUAUUAACAUAUAUAUGGUAUAUUUUAAUAUUAAUAUUUAUUAGAUGAUGCUUUUUGCUCAUAUUUAUUUUUUAUCAUUUGUAUCUGCUAUAGCAAAAAGUCUAAAUUAGUGAUAACAAAAUUUUCACUGUGAGAUUAAUGGUUUAAGUAAUUUAUAAUAUUUUAAGAAAUUAAGUUGUCAAUAUUUUUUCAAAUUUUUUAUCAAAAAAUGUUCAAAGUAAAUUUCAAAAUUAAGAUAUUUAUGUAUUUUUAUAUGACAUAUAGUUUAAUUUAAAAUUAUACAUAUAUUUAUAUAUCUUUUAUUUUUGAUACUUAUUAAAUGAGACUUUCAACUUAUAUUAUUUUUAAAUUAUUUGUAUCAUGUCAUAACAAAAGUUUUAAAUCAUAGAUCACAAAAUUUGAAUGUGAAACUUUUAACAGUUUUAGUAAUUUAUACUCAUUUUUAAAAAUUCAAAAUAUAAUAUAUAAAUAUUUUUUUAAAAAUUUUAUUAUAUGGUUAGUAUGAUUGUUUAUUUUAUUUUAAUAGCUUAAAAUUAAACAAAUAUAAUUAUAAUACACACUUAUUUUUAUCAAAUCUUUAUUAUUCAAAAUUAUUAAUUGUCAUAUAUACGUUAGCCACAUUAGGUAAUUCUGUAAUCUUAUUUAAGGAAAUAAUGAAGCACAUUAAUAAUGUAUUUAUUGUGAUUUGAUAAAAAGCUUAUUAUAUAUUUAGAUGGACCAACAUAUUUGUCUAAGGAUUCUAAAAAUCAUUCUAAUGAUGACACGUGGUUACAAAAAAUGUUGCAAUGCUUCUCAAAUAAUAUAUAGGGGAUAUCAUGUACUGGUUGUAUUUUUCUAGAAUGAUUAAUCUAAUUGAUUAUUGUUAUGUUAAUUUUGUUUUUCGACAUGCUUUGUUUCUCUUUAUCAACGAAGAAAGAAAAAAACAAAUUCUUGUUGUGUUCUUGGCAAAUUAUUAUCCAUUAUCUAUCUCUCCAGCAAUAUGCGAGUAUCAGUUUUACAUUUGAAGCUGUUGGAAAUUUUAUUCUAAAAUUUGUUGUAUAUACAAAUCAGAUUUCAGAAUAUAUAUAUCUCUAGUAUACAACUUGUGCGUAAAAAUGUGUAUGGUUCGUGUAAUGGCUUUCUUAAAUAAUUAACUAAGAAUAUGAGAGAUCCUUCGAGAUCAAAAAAAUAUUAUUAGGUUUGAGUGUAUGUGUAACGUUAAAAACAAUACCGUAAUUGUAUGUGUACAAACUCAUGACUAUGAAGAAAAAAGAAUUGUAAAUAGGUGCUUCAGAUUAUAGUACUGUGCCACAAACUACUGCUUGGGAUAUUGACUUUUUCCAUUAUUCAUGUUCUACGUUUCUAUCUAAACGUUAUUGCGUAUAAUGAAUUUGCUAGAUAUGAUACUAUAUUAGUAAUAACAACAAAUUUCUCAAACAUGUAUGUGAAACAGAUUUUUUUUUAAUUCAAUGACUCAAAACAAAAGAACAGUCAGAAGUUUGGUAAUUUUUUGAAAGUUUAUCUCAAAACCAUUCAGAUUUUGAAAGUUAUAUAUAGAUAUAUGUUAUAUUAUUCUUAUUUAAAAUGGAAGAAAAAGAUUUUUUAUGUUCAAGUCAAAAAGUUUUAAGGCAAAACUGGUAAUACCAUUAAUGGCUAUUAUUAGAUUCAAUGAAUAAUACAAAAAAAUCUAAGGUUGUUUAUGAGUCAAAAUCUUAGACGGUUAAGAUGAAUUAAGCUAGAUCUAAAGGCUCUUAUUCUUCUUGUAGACAACACCCUAUCAUGUUGAAAUCCUUUUAAAUAGAGGCUCUCUCUUGUGCUGUUCUUCACUACCAACUAUCAAUAAUCAGUAUACUAUUUGUUACUUCAACAUAUUCUAUCAGUAUAGUUUUUCCUGUUUCUCCAUUCACCGAUCUCUCUUGUUUCUUCUUUUCUUUUGAAAGCUGGGCUACUUCUCAUUAUUUCUUGUCUUUCAAAGGUACGUGUUAAUAUAUAGUUCAAUGUUGAACUUGUUAUAGAAUUUACAUAUCUCUUUUGUUUAUUUUAUGUGUAUUUAUUUUUGGUGAUGUUAUCAUUGAGACUAUAUUUUGUAAGAUACGAUUAAAUUCAAUUUUCAGAUUAAUUUUUUCUUAUCACUAUAUUUUAGUUUUAAUAAUCAUCCUACCAUUGACUAUAUAUCCUUUAUUUUUUAAGAAAAUAAAAAGCAAAAUGAAAGGACUAUCGUUAAUACAUUGGUGUUCACUAUAACUCAGAUCUGAAUAUGUUGGUAUGUAGUUUAGUUAUUAUGCGGUUCAAAUAUUGUGAAGAUAAGACCGAACAUUGAACUUGUUCUGUUUUUUCAGGUAGACCCUAACGAUCAUUUUCUAGUCUUUUAUUCUUGAAGUUUUGAGAUUGUAAAGAAUAAUAAGAUUUGAUUAAAAAAAAUAAGAAAAAAAUAAGAUUUUUUUUUGAAAAAUAUUACUUUUUUAUAAAAAAAAAUAAGUUUAUUGAAAUUGUAUUUUUCUCAAUAAGUAAAUUUGAUGUUUGUGUUAUGAUUUUAUAUAUGUACUGCUAUUUGUUUUGAUAAUAUUUCCUCUAAGCAUUUAUCACUUAGAUUAGAACAAAAAUGAGAUUUAGUGGUUGUUUUAGUCUUAGAUAUGAUUCACGAUUGACUUCAAAAUAUUAAUAGUUAUAGUUAUGCGGUUGUUUAAUGAUUAUGUACUUUUGAUCAUUUUUUUUUCUUAAUGCAGGACAUAUUUUUACAAUGGAUGAGUCUACUCCAAUCGAAGCUACACCAUUCAGCUAUCUAAUUCCGAGCUUUGCUGACGAUGAUAACCAUCACAUGGAGAACAUCCCAUCACCAACUUCUCAAGUGGUUACACCACUUCAAACUGUUGAUGACGAGACCUCUUACACAACACCACCUCCCAUUCCUCAAGCCUCACCGCUUCAGCCUGCUAAUGAGGAAAACUACAACACACCAACACCCUAUCAACCUCUAUUACUGGCCACACCACUCAGCUUCAUUUCACCAUCUGAUGAAUCCAACACUGCUGCUGUCGAUCCCAACAUGGGUCCUAUCAAAAGAGGACGAGGCCGACCAAAAGGUUCAAAGAAUUCAAAGCCGUCCAAGAAGAAGAUGGAAACCUCUCAUCCCAACAAUGAAGUGGUUGUAUCUGGUCACAAUGAUGAAACUCACAACACAUCAUUCUCCCCUCAUCCUCCUCUAAUGGCCACAGAUCUUCAAGCUAUUGUACCAUACGAUGACUCCAAACACGACUCUUUGGCUGAUGAUGAUGCUGCUCCGAGUAGCGAUCCUCUUAAAAGAGGACGGGGCCGACCAAAGGGUUCGAAGAGCGCCAAGACGCCUGUGAAGAAGCUGAAACCCCAUAAUCCCGACGACAAAAUAUUUUGUCCCAGUUUUGACUCGAUGAUAACCGAAGAGGAGAAAGAAAAUGGGAAUGAAGAUCUGGUGGACUCCGUUCGGAUGCGUUUCAACGCCGUUUGUCGUCGCUUAGGCCACAUAAGCUGCGAGAAAGCUGUGGUCACAACUGCCUUCAGUAGGUUUACCAAUCUGGGUGUCAGAACUAACAAGAAGAAGAGAAUCGGUCCGGUUCCGGGGGUACAACCAGGAGAUAUAUUCUACUUCUGGGGAGAGAUGUGUUUGGUUGGACUUCACACUCAGAUGCCUGCUGGUAUCGACUAUCUACUAGCGAAAGAUGGUGAAGCAGAAGGAUUAACAACAAGUGUCGUUACAUCAGUAGGACACUACAACGACAAAACGGACGAGCUUCAUACUUUGGUAUACACCGGGCAAGGAGGAACGUGUAAGGAUGGUAAACCUAGAAAUCAAGACCUUACAAGAGGAAACCUAGCGUUGGUCACAAGUCAGAAAAGAGGAAAUGAAGUUAGAGUGAUUAGAGGUGUAGAGGAUCCGGGCGAUAAAAAAGGGAAAGUAUAUAUCUACGAUGGUCUCUAUGUGGUAACCCAUUAUUGGAUAGAGAAAGGGACCACCGGCUUUGAUGAAUUCAAGUUUAAUCUCGUGAGAAAACAAGACCAGCCUUCUGGUUUCGCCACGUGGAAGUUAGCUGAAGAAUUGAUGAAGUGUGGUUCGAGUAAUCGGUCGAGGAAGGGUUUUGUGUUUGAAGAUAUUGCUCUUGGAUUGGAGGCGUUGCCAGUUCCGAUCGUGAACGAGAUCGAUGAGAACGACAAGGAGUGGCCUCUAGACUUCGACUACAGAGCCUCUUCGGAAAGUUUGAGUAUGAUGAUCGUUCCGAACCAUCAAUCUACUGGAUGCAACAACACUUGUCAAGGUGGUCAGUCAUGUGGAGAUCCGACGUGUCUUUGUAUUCAAAGAAAUGGCGGCGAGUUACCGUAUGAUAACCGCAUUUUACUAUAUCGUAAACCGAUGAUUUACGAAUGUGGCGAAUCCUGUUCUUGCCCCGCGGACUGCAAGAACAGGCUAUCUCAAAGCGGUUUGAAACUCCGGUUGGAAGUGUUCAAGACGGAGAGCUGCGGUUGGGGGUUACGUUCGUGGGAGCCCAUACGAGCCGGGACUUUUAUCUGCGAGUUGGUUGGCACAGCUAAGAGAAGAGAUGAGAUUGAAGAAGACGACGAGUACGUCUUCGACACCUCUCGAGUUUACAAAAGGUUUAGGUGGAACUACGAACCGGAACUUGUGGGUGAAGACUGUUGGGACGAAGUCUCUGAAGUUUAUAAACUUCGGUCGGAAAUAUUGGUCAGUGCCAGAGCUUUUGGUAACGUUAGUCGGUUCAUGAACCAUAGCUGCUUGGCUAACGUUAUGUGGCAGCCUGUUGAGUUUGAAAAGGAUGGCCAACCUUUGGUUCGUAUUGCCUUUUUUGCAAAGAGACAUAUACCUCCGUUGACAGAGUUGAGAUACGAUUAUGGAAUGUCUUAUGAUACUGGAGAGGUUGAUGAAGGUGGAAGCAGGGUUUUUACAGGUAAAAGGGCUUGCUUGUGUGGUUCGGAAAAUUGUCGUGGUUCUUUUGAGUGAGGUUGAACAUUUUUAUUAUUAUUGUUGUUGUCUUUUUAUCUGUUGUUUUGAUUAUUGUGGUCUUGUGUUUCCUUUUAAUCCCUAAGAAUAAAAAACUUACUUAAGUUUUUAAUCAUAGUGUAUGUUAUUUCAUUAUCUGUUAGAUUUGUAUCAUAAGAAAUCCAAAUCAUGUUUAAGUUAAACCAAUUAAUUUAAGUCAUUUCUAGUCUUUUAUCCUUCAAGUUUUGAGAUUGAAAAGAAAAAUAAGACUUGAUAAAAAGAUAAAAUAAGAAAAAAAUAAGAUCUUUUAAGAAAAAUAGACGAUAGAAAAGACAAAAUAAGAAGAAACAAAAUAUUUUUUCAGAAAAAUAUUAUUUCGCAAAAAAGAAGUUUAUUGAAAUUGUAAUUUUCUCAAAAAAAAGUAAAUUUGAUGUUUGUGUUAUGAUUUUAUAUAUGUAGUGCUAUUUGUUUUGAUAAUAUUUUGUCUAAGCAUUUAUCACUGAGAUUAGAAUAAAAAAAGAGAUUUAGUGGUUGUUUUAGUUUUAGAUAUGAUUCACGAUUGACUUCAGAACAUUAAUAGUUAUAGUAUAUGGAAGGUUAAUUAGUUGAUUUUUUAUAUUAUAGUCUUGUGUUUUUCUCAAGCUAACAAUUAAACUCGUCAUGUCUUGAACUUCUCGAGUUUACAAAAAAUUUAGGUGGAACUAUGAACCCGAACUUGUGGUUGAAGACUGUUGGGACGAAGCCUCUUAAGUUUAUAAACUUCGGUCGGAAAUCUUAGUCAGUGCGAGAGUGAUUGCUAAUAUUAGUCGGUUAUGAACCAUAGCUGCUCGGCUAACGUUAUGUGGCAGCCUGUUGAGUUUGAAAAGGAUGGCCAACCUUUGGUUCGUAUUGCGUUUUUGCAAAGUGGUAUAUACCUCCCUUGGCAGAGUUGAGGUAUGAUUAUGGAAUGUCUUAUGAUAAUGGAGAUGUUGAUGAAGAUGGAAGCAUGGGUUUUAGAGGUAAGAGGGUUUGCUUAUGUGGUUCGGAAAACUAUCGUGGUUCUUUUGAGUGAGGUUGGAUUUCUUAUUAUUAUUGUUGUUGUCUUUUCUUUUUUGUUGUUGUUUUGAUUAUUAUGGUCUUGUGUUUCCUCUUAAUCAUUAAGAAUAAAAAAUUUAUUUAAGUAUUUAAUCAUAUUGUUUACUUACGUUAUUUCAUUAACAGUUACAUUUGUAUCAUAAGAAAUCCAAAUCAUUUUUAAGUUAAGCCAAUUAAUAUAAGUCAUUUCUAGUCUUUUAUUCUUCGAGCUUUGAGAUUGAAAAGAAAAAUAGGACUUGAUAAAAAAAAGACAAAAAAAAAAUAAGAUUUUUUAUAGAAAAAUUGACUUGAUAAAAAGACAAAAUAACAAAGAACAAAAUAAGAUUUUUUUAGAAAAAUAUUUUUUAUAAUAAAAAAAAGAAGAUUAUUGAAAUUGUAAUAUUCUAAAAAAGUAAAUUUGAUGUUUGUGUUAUAAUUUUAUACUAGAUUUUGACCCGCGCUUUCAAAGCGCGGGUUUAUUUUUGUUUUUUUUUUCAAUUGACAAAUAUUUAGUAAAUGUCACAUUUUCAUAUAUUUUUGUUUUAUUUUAUAAAAGACUUAAAAAUUUUAUCUUUAUUUAUCGUAUUUCAUUUUAAAUGACUAUUUAUGUUAAAAAAUAAACUUUAUUUUUUUAAUGAAUUAAGUUGGUAUAACUCUGAUAAAUUAAUUUUAUUAUGGGGUUAAUAUUUUAAUUAAAAAAUUAUAUACUUUUAAUAAAAAUUUAUACUUUUCAAUAAAAAAUUCAAUUAUUUUUAUGAAUGCUUAAAUUAUAUUAAGAAAAGAAAAAUAAUAAUUAAGAAUAGUUGAAAAAAAAUUAUUUGAACUUGGACUCAAUGGCCCAAAGGAAAAAAAAAGUGAGAAUUGAAUCUGAUUUUUUAAUAGGCCCAAAUGACCCUAGAGAGAUUUGAUUUGGGCUGGAUCCAAAAAUAAUGACCCAAUAUAGAUUUGUUAUUAAUAUUACUUAAUUGCCCUUAAUGAAACAUGCAAUGUUAGUGAAGGAAACAUGCCCCUAAGGUAAUUAUGACAAUAGGAUCCUGCUUUAAUAGUAUAGAUAUGUAGUGCUAUUUGUUUUUAUAAUAUUUCAUUAAGCAUUUAUCAUUGAGAUUAGAAUCAAAGGAGAUUUGGUAGUUAUUUAAGUCUUAGAUAUGAUUCACGACUCACUUCAGAACAUUAAUAGCAAUAUUUUAAAAACCAUACCGGAUACCGACUCGGUAAAGCUACUGGUUAAGUGGUUGGACCCGUGUAACCGGUCGAACCGGAUUUUCUAUUUAAAAAUAAGUAAAUCUAAAUAAUCAUAUAUUUAUAAAAUGUAGUUCUACAUAUAAUAUGUUCUAUGUUCUCUUUUAUUAAUUAGAUAAUAAACAAUAACCAUAAGUAUAUUUAUAUAUACAAGUGAAUACUAUAUCAACUAAAAUUGAUAACAAAAAAACAAAUGAGUGACUGUUUAAAUUACAUAUUUAUUUAUUUUUACAACUAAAUCUCUUAAAUUAUAUGAAUAUAGCAAAAUGAGAAUAAAAUAUGAGAGUCAAAAAUAGAUUUUUUAAACUUAAAAUAGAAUCAAGCGAAAGCCAAUUAAAUAGUAAAAAUUAAACAUUAAUUAUGAAAUAUUAAAUUUUAAUAAAAAUUGAAAAUACAUUAAUUAUAUGUUGAUUUAUGUAGAACCGGGUUUUGAAGUUGAAUAUGAUCACCGAAUUUACCGGGUUUUAGCCGGUUUCACGGGUUUUUCUCAAAUCCGGAUUUUAAACGAACCGAACUCGGCUUCUUUAACGAGUCACAGUCAGACCGGUUCGACCGGCCGGUCCAGUUUUCAAAACCUUGAUUAAUAGUUAUAGUUAUAUGCAAGGUUAAUUAGUGAUUUUUUUAUAUGAUAGUCUUGUGUUUUUCUCAAGCUAACAAUUCAAAAAAACUUGUUAUGUCAUGUACUUCUCGAGUUUACAAAAACUUUAGGUGUAACUAUGAACCGGAACUUGUGGGUGAAGACUGUGGGAUGAAGUCUCUGAAGUUUAUACACUUCGGUCGGAAAUCUUGGUCGGUGCUAGAUUGAUUGGUAACAUUAGUCGGUUCAUGAACCAUAGCUGCUCGGCUAACGUUAUGUGGCAGACUGUUGAGUUUGAAAAGGAUGGUCAACCUUCAGUUUGUAUGGCGUUUUUUGAAAAGAGACAUAUACUUCCGUUGACAGAGUUGAGGUAUGAUUAUGGAAUGUCUUAUGAUACUUGAGAGGUUGAUGAAGAUGGAAGAAUGGUUGUUAGAGGUAUAAAGGGUUUGCUUAUGUCGUUCGGUAAACUGUCAUGGUUCUUUUGAGUGAGGUUGAAUUUCUUAUUAUUAUUGUUGUUGUCUUUUGCUUUUUUGUUGUUGUUUUGAUGAUUAUGGUCUUUUGUUUCCUUUUUAUCAUUAAGAAUAAAAAACUUAUUUAAGUAUUUAAUCAUAUUGUUUACUUAUGUUAUUUCAUUAUCAGUUAGAUUUGUACCAUAGGAAAUCCAAAUCAUGUUUAAGUUAAGCCAAUUAAUAUAAGUCAUUUCUAGUCUUUUAUUCCUCGGGUUCUUAGAUUGAAAAGAAAAAUAGGACCUGAUAAAAUAGAUAAUAUAAGAAGAAAAUAAUAUUUUUUAUAGAAAAAUAGACUUGAUGAAAAAGACAAAAUAAGAAGAAAAGAUAAGAUUUGUUUUUAGAAAAAUAUUUUUAAUAAAAAAGAAGAUUAUUGAAAUUGUAAUUUUCUAAAAACGUAAAUUUGAUGUUUGUGUUAUAAUUUUAUGUAGUGCUAUUGUUUUGAUAAUAUUUCUCUAAGCAUUUAUCGCUGAGAUUAGAAUAAAAGGGAGAUUUAGUGGUUGUUUUAGUCUUAGAUAUGAUUCACGAUUGACUUCAGAACAUUAAUGGUUAUAGUUAUAUGCAAGGUUAAUUAGUUGAUUUUUUAUAGGAUAGUCUUGUGUUUUUCUCAAGCUAACAACUAAAAAAAACUCGUUAUGUCAUGUACUUCUCGUGUUUACAAAAACUUUAGGAGGAACUAUGAACCGGAAGUUGUGGGUGAAGACUGUUGGGACGAAGUCUCUGAAGUUUAUAAACUUAGGUCGGAAAUCUUGGUCAGUGCGAGAUCAAUUGGUAACGUUAGACGGUUCAUGAACCAUAGCUGCUCGGCUAACGCUAUGUGGCAGCCUGUUAAGUUUGAAAAGGAUGGCCUACCUUCGGUUCGUAUUGCGUUUUUUGCAAAGAGGCAUAUACCUCUGUUGACAGAGUUGAGGUAUGAUUAUGGAAUGUCUUAUGAUACUGGAGAGGUUGAUGAAGAUGGAAGCAGGGCUUUUUGAGGUAAAAGGGUUUGCUUAUGUGGUUUGGAAAAAUGUCAUGGUUCUUUUGAGUGAGGUUGAAUUUCUUAUUAUUAUUGUUGUCGUAUUUUUUUUUUGUUGUGGUUUUGAUUAUUAUGGUCGUGUGUUUCCUUUUAAUCAUUAAGAAUAAAAACGUAUUUAAAUAUUUUAUCAUAUUUUUUACUUAUGUUAUUUCAUUAUCAGUUAGAUUUCUAUCAUAAAAAAUCUAAAUCAUGUUUAAGUUAAGCCAAUUAAUAUAAGUCAUUUCUAGUUUUUUAUUUUUCAAGUUUUGAGAUUGAAAAGGAAAAUAGGACUUGAUAAUAAAUAGACAAAAUGAGAAAAAAAAAAUUUUGUGUAGAAAAAGUAGACUUGAUAAAAAGACAAAAUAAGAAAAAAAUAAGAUUUUUUGUGGGAAUUUUUUUUAAAUAAAAGAGAAGUUUAUUGAAAUUGUAAUUUUCUCAAAAAUUAAAUUUGAUGUUUGUGUUAUGAUUUUAUAUAUGUAGUGUUAUUUGAUUUGAUAAUAUUUUCUCUAAGCAUUUAGCACUGAGAUUAGAAUAAAAAUGAGAUUUAAUGGUUGUUUUAGUCUUAGAUAUGAUUACGAUUGACUUCAGAACAUUAAUAGUCAUAGUUAUGUGAUUGUUUAAUGAUUAUGAACUUUUGAUCAUUAUUUUUUUCUUAAUGCAGUAUUUACUUUUGCAGUUGAUGGGUCUACUCCAAUCGAAGCUACACCAUUCAGCUAUCUAAUCCCGAGCUUUGCUGACGAUGAUAACCAUCAGAUGGAGAACAUCUCAUCACCAACUUCUCAAGUGGUACACCACUCCAAAGUCCAAACCGUUGUAUGAGAUCCCUUACACAACAACACCUCCCAUUUCUCAAGCCUCACCGCUUCAACCUGCUAAUGACGAAAACUACAACACACCAACACCCUCUCACCCAGGGGCGAAUCUAGAAAAGUUUUUAAUUGGGGCACCAAAUUAUAAACACCAAAAAAUAUUUUUGAUGGGGGCACUUUUACAUUUUUCUUCACUAAACUAAUGAUAUUUAAUAAAUUAAAUUAAACUAUCAAAGAAAAUAAUAAAAAUCAGUAGGGGGUACGUGACCCCGUACGGCCGUACUUCCAUCCGCCCCUGCUCUCACCUAUAUUAAUAGCCACACCACUUAGUUUUUUUUCACCAUCUGAUGAAUCCAACACUGUUGAUGUCGAUCCCAGCAUAGGUCCCAUCAAAAGAGGGCGAGGCCGACGUAAUGGAAUGUCUUAUGAUACUGGAGAGGUUGAUGAGGAUCGAAACAUGAUUUUUAGAGGUAAAAGGGUUUGCUUAUGUAGUUUGGGUCUCUGUCAUGGUUCUUUUGAGUGAUGUUGAACUUUUUAUCAUUAUUGUUGUUGUUUUUUCUGUUGUUUUGAUUAUUAUGGUCUUGUGUUUCUUUUUAAUUUAUUAAUAAUAAUUAAAAAAAAACUUAUUUAAGUUUUUAAACAUAUUGUUUACUUAUGUUAUUUCAUUAUCAGUUAGAUUUAUAUCAUAAGAAAUUCAAAUCAUGUUUAAGUUAAUCCAAUAGAUGUAUAUUUUGUUGUGUCUCAAUAAAAAGAUGGAUAUUUUAUUUUUAAUUAAAGAGAAAAGUACUUGUACUAUUAUUUCAUUAUUGGUUCCUGUGUUGUUGUGAUGGUUUUGGUUCAGAAAGGUAUUUAUUUGGGAUUUGGUGUUACGUUUCAGUAGUGUUGUUGUCCUUGUGUGUUAGCUAUGAACAAAGGAUCCAAAAAGAGAGCAUGGUAUGGUAAAAUCUACGUAAACUGGAAACUAUUCUUGUGGAGGUGGACAAUUUGACUUCUCAGGUACUUUAUGCUAGUUUUUAAAGGCCUAUCAGAGUUAUUCUCUAUGUUUCCUUGGGAUGUGUUUUGGUGAUUUAAAGGAUGUAAGAGUGAGUGCAAGAAAAUGGGUUCUCUUGGUUUUCUUAUGUUUGACAGGGUAAAGCUUCUUUGAGUUAUCUGUAAGGGAUGAACCGGAGGAAGGGAUGGAAGAUCAAGAUGAGUUCUUCAUCGAAGACUUUGAUGCUGCUCCAUUUGUACGACAUGACAUUUCGUGAAGACCCCUCAGAUUUUGACGACAAUUUGCUUUAUGCAGCUCGUGACAGGACUAGGCAGCUCAGAUCAUUCAAGGUCCUCUCUCUCUCUCUUUCUUAUGUUUCUUGUUUACCAUAAUCAUCAGACAAAAGAUAAUGGAUGCUUUAACUUCGUAAAGAAUAAGAGAGAAGGAAUAUGAGCAGCUUGCAAUAUGGUUUGGAGAUGCAGACAUGGGUGUUGAUGUGACGAACAGUAAGAAACAUGCGACAACAUCUCCGGACCCUAAAAACUCAGGGUCAAACCUGCCAUUUGCAUCAGACGAUUGAGACACCUUCUAUGCAGGCUUGACUGUCAUGUGAUGCUUUAAAGUUUGAACAAUAUGAUACCAAGAACCAAUCUGUUUCUUCUAAUAUGAAAAACAUUAAAUUCUUCUUAAUGCCCCUUCUAGUUUCCUUUACUGCUCUAAACAAUUGAUUUGUUCCACUUAAGACGCAGGGAACAAGCAUGUUGAUUAGAGGAAGACAUCUACAGUUCAUUCUUCUGUACAGUAAAACAUCCUAAUACAGAAAACAGUCCAAUUGGGGCAAAGUCAUCGACUUAGAAAAUAACAUGACGGCUCUGAUUCUAAAGCUAAACACUAUCUUGACUUGUCAGCUCUAAUUACCAGUAUCUGAUCCACGUCCAGAGGAGCUGUCACUGUCAGAAUCUGCAGAACAAAAAAGAAGAUUGAUGUGAGUAGUGAUGCUGAUAAAGGUGUGAUAAAAAGAGCUGACACAGAGUUUCAACAUUUACCACUAGAGCUAGAUCCCGAGUCACUGCUGGAACUGUUAGAACUACUUGAUCCACCUGCCUUGUUUUCUUGCCGAACAGGAGAAGAAGACAUGCGAAUAGCUUUCCCUGGUUAGAAAUAAUCAUUUGUUAUUCCUUUGUUGUGUGUAAAUAAAUACUAAUUAACAACAUCCGAAUUUGGUAUGAGCUAGUGACCUAAAACCUUACCUGAUUCAGUAACUCUCGAUCUUUCGGUGCCAGUUGCCUGAAACAAUGAUAAUGAGCCAAAAUCAAUAAAGACCUGAAAUAAAUAACAUUUGGCUAUGGAAAGAAAUCUUUACCGGUUCUUGGAUAAUGUUGUGAGCAGAUUCAGCAUCUCUUUCUGAACCAAAACCCUGAUCCUCCUCCUUUUUAUUGCUCAAGUUCUCCUUAUACCCAGUCACAAAACUAUAAAGCUCCCAAAGCGUUUGGAUGUCAAGACUGUCAAUAUCCAGCUCAAUCUCAUCAUCCUGUUGAGAGAGUUCCGGAUUACUCUUCUUUACAAUCUGAACAACUGUCUCUAGUUUAUCAUAAGGCAAGUCCUGAAGCUCUUCACUGAGUCUCUGUUUCUCAUCCAUCGUCAGGUCCCUAAUAUCAACAGGCGCCUCCUCAUCUCCUCCAGGCUUCUCGAGGGCAGUAGUAGUGACAGUUUCCGGUUCCAACGGUGUCGUCAUAGAUUCAGCAAUCUCCAAAGUCCUAUCCUCAAGCACCGCAGGCGGAAGAGUAGGAAGAGGAGGAGACGGGGAAGGUGUAGGAGCUGGUAAAGGCUCAACAACAGGAGCAGGACGAGGCAACACAACAUCACGAACCGGUUUCAUCUCCCUGUGAAGACUAUGAUACUGCAGUUCAAUAGGAGCCCACUUCUCCUCAAACAUGCUCAACAGAAACUUAGCCAUACUAUGCACCUCAUGCCCAACAGGAUUAUACAAAAUCGCAUUGUUAAAAGUAAGUCUAACAUCUUCAGCAAAAUCCAACGGCGACUCAUACAAACCUUCCCCUAACUUAGCCUUCACAGUACCCAAAUCCAUAGGCUCCUUAACAAUGGUGUGGUAAUCAUGCAAACCAAACCCUUUAGCAUCAACGGGCACAUUGAACACCCAUCCAUCCUUAUGCUUCAUCAAUUUCGUCAGCAAAUUGAGACAUUUCUUGAAAAUCUGAACCGUACCUUUAUCACCUUUCUUAACUCCAUUCCCAGUUUUCACCUUCUUGUUUCCACCUUUCCCUGUUGUAAA